UUUUUAAAUAGUGUUAACAAUGAUGAUGCUCUAGUUGUUAUUGCUAGUUUAAUUAUUCUUCUUCUUUCUUUCAGGGAUUAGGUAUCUUUGCCUGUUUGGAACCUUAUAUUAUCCAUCCAUUUUUUUCUUGGACAUCCUUGGUCUCUCUAGCCUUCUGGGUUGUAAUUGAGCUCCAAUCUUGGUAACCUUUCUUCAUUAAUUCUAUUCAGAUGCUGGUACCAUUUCAAUCAACUAUGAGAUAUCUAAUCG